rnacentral:rRNA from 1 species
UACAGAGGUCUCAAGCGUUGUUCGGAUUCAUUGGGCGUAAAGGGCGCGUAGGCGGCCAUGCGUGUCUUCCGUGAAAUCCCUCGGCUUAACUGAGGACGUGCGGAAGAAACUGCAAGGCUCGAGUCCGGGAGAGGGGGGUGGAAUUCCCAGUGUAGCGGUGAAAUGCGUAGAUAUUGGGAGGAACACCGGUGGCGAAGGCGGUUCUCUGGGCCUUACCUGACGCUGAGGAGCGAAAGCGUGGGGAGCGAACAGG